UCCUGUUGGGUAGGUUGGCUCGAGAGAAAGGGACAGAACUAAAGUCACAUGCAUUUAGGAGCUGAGUGGAGGUUGGUUUAACGACUGCAGCCCAACAAGCAGCUCAGCUGUCGGCCCGUCUCCCUCAGCAGGCUGCCGUCCAGCAACCAGCAGCAGCUCCGCCACAGGUUCCAGCUCAGCCACCCGUCACCAGGCCCAAUCCACCUGCAAAGCCAAUGUCACCCCACUUCAGAGCAACAUUUGAUGGGUGUGUUUUUUUCUGCAGGGGGACACACGUCUGUCAGCUUUGGAAGCCUUAUUAUGCCGAAAGCUUCCAUACUGCCACCUUCUCAUGUGUGGGAAAGUAGGAGGAUUUAGUAGAGGGGUUGUCUUUAGACAUAGUAGCAUUCUUCCUGCCGGUCAAGGUCAGGCCGAUCUGGAGAAGGAGUGGUCGGAGUGCUGUCUCGAGAUGGGACGGAUGGUGAUUGGAGCAUGUGAUCGACUGAGGAGUGAGAGGAUGGUUUUGGGGGUUUUGAUUUACUGAGGGAAACCCUGGACCUCUCAGAUUCAGGUUUUCCCAGA